CCGCCGGCGGUAAGAGCAUACUGUAAGCGCAUCGUGGGCUCCUACAAAUUUUCGUGUACUGUCGCAAUGCCUGUUUUCGUAGAAUAUGAGAUUCAUGCGACCACUGCGGUAGUCGACCAUAUCCACUGUGCAAUACUUCGGUCCGGUAAACCCGACCGCUCCGUACGAGAUGUGGUGGAACGGCGGUGACGGCACUUGGGAUGGAUACCAGAGCAACCAGAGUGCUGCGCCUGGCUGGCUUAUGUCAGGUCUGGCAUCUGGAUUGGCAAGCAGGCUUCGGGGACGUUGGUCUUUGUCAUGUCUGAUUUGAUGUUCUGGCAUUUGGUGUCCAAUGUUUUGGACAGCAGAUGAGCUGAAAAAAAAAAACCGAAGCACGACUGGAACUUUGUGCGAAAAGUCUUGGUGAAAGGAAAGGGCAACAUCCUGCCCAGCCUCCACAUCACAGAAGCUGUCGUCCCUUAAAGUUGACACGCAGAUGCCAUUGGCUCAGGAGGACAGCAUCGAGUUCAUUAUUGGUCAUCAAAGGACGAUGGAAAGGCCUCUUCGGAGUCUACAUGGGGUCUGCAGUGAGCGAGGACGAGGGAAGAAAAGGAUGAAGGAUGUGCGGCGGCACCUCUCCCAGAAACUGGCGGAUUGCCAGAGAAAGUAGAACAA